CCUCGGCGCAUAGGAUAAAAUGAAAGCUGCAUUAAAACAAAAACAAAAACAAAAACAAAGACGAAAUUAGAAACAAAAACAAGACAAAACAAAAUAAUAGAGCAUUAGUAAAUCCCGCAGAAAUAACGUAAAUAAUUAUGUAAACAUAAGAAACAUAAAUAAAAACAAUAGAGCAUUAGUAACUCCCGCAGAAAUAGCGUAAAUAAUUAUCUAAACAUAAGAAACAUAAAUACAAUCGCAUGCAAUAAUAUCAUACAGUAACUACCAUAACUAACAA
rnacentral:lncRNA from 1 species